rnacentral:rRNA from 1 species
GUGCAUGUGGUGGAUGCCUUGGCGAUCACAGGCGAUGAAGGACGUGCAAGCCUGCGAAAAGCGGGGGGGAGCUGGCAAUGGAGCUUUGAUCCCCCGAUCUCCGAAUGGGGAAACCCGGCCCGCAAGGGUCAUCUUUACCUGAAUACAUAGGGUAUUGAAGCGAACCCGGCGAACUGAAACAUCUAAGUAGCCGGAGGAAAAGAAAUCAACCGAGAUUCCCCAAGUAGUGGCGAGCGAACGGGGAAGAGCCUGCUAGUGAUAGCGGCAUUGUUAGCAGAACGGAAUGGAAAGUCCGGCCGUAGCGGGUGAUAGCCCCGUAUGCGAAAACAGCGCCGUGGUACCAAGCUAGCGAAAAGUAGGGCGGGGCACGUGAAACCUUGUCUGAACAUGGGGGGACCAUCCUCCAAGGCUAAAUACUCGUGAUCGACCGAUAGUGAACCAGUACCGUGAGGGAAAGG